CCUACAUUCUAGGUGCUUAGCUUUAUUUACAUGAUAGGUGCCCCUGAAGGCACAGAAUAAGGUAAUCACCAGUCUACAGAUAGAGAUAUUCAGUAUACUGAACCAUAGACACUUAUUUCAAAAAGGAAAUAGGUGCCCUUGAAGGCACAGCAUAGGUAAUUACUCUUUAACAGACAGCUAGAGAUAUAGGUGCAUAGUCACUAGGUCUACC